rnacentral:lncRNA from 1 species
CUUUUGUUGUUCACUAAUUUCUAAAUUAAGAUAUUCUAUCAUAAAAUUAUUUUUAUUUAUCUAAGUCUACCUCUUUCAAAUUUGAUUGCUAAUUGAUUUUCUAAAAAUUCUUUAGCUCUUUGUUCUCUUUCAUAUUGUCUGACUAUGUUCUAAUAAUUCUCUCUGGAUAGUUUUUACUUCUUCACUAAACAAUGGGUCACCUAUAAUGCUAUUCUAAAAUCUUUAUCUACCUUUUAGAUAUCUAAUAUGUUUUUCAUGUCUUUCAAAUAUCUUUUAAUACCACUUUUAGUAGGGUGAUAUGGACAAUAUAAACAUGUUAAAUAUAUUCCUGGUCUACAAGGGCAUGGAGGAGGAUUCAUAUAAUUUUAUUUGCACCUACCUUUUUCUUUUAGUAUGGCUAAAUAGUUCUGGAAUGCAUCUUCUCACUAUGUAAUAAUUUCUAUAUGGUAAUGUACUCUUCCUAUAUUAUUAUAAAGGCUUAAUUACUGUUUCACCCCUGGAACAAGCGUUCGGUCUUAUUUUACCCUUAGAAAUUGAAAAUUUCUUACUUAACACCCAUAAUCUCUAAAAAUUGUUGAAAUUUUCUCACUUUAUGACUUCUGUCCAUUUUCGUCCACAAAAUUGUUAAAU